UGCGUAGGUGGUUUGAUAAGUCAGAGGUGAAAGCCCACCGCUUAACGGUGGAAUUGCCUUUGAUACUGUCAGACUUGAAUAAGGUUGAGGUCGGCGGAAUGUGUCAUGUAGCGGUGAAAUGCAUAGAUAUGAUAUAGAACACCAAUUGCGAAGGCAGCUGGCUAGACCUUUAUUGACACUGAGGCACGAAAGCGUGGGGAGCGAACAGGAUUAGAUACCCUGGUAGUCC
rnacentral:rRNA from 1 species